UAAAACGUGUGUGCUCUGAUCAGUUUCCA
rnacentral:piRNA from 1 species